UACUCCUACGGGAGGCCGCAGUAGGGAAUCUUCCGCAAUGGGCGAAAGCCUGACGGAGCAACGCCGCGUGAGUGAUGAAGGUCUUCGGAUCGUAAAACUCUGUUAUUAGGGAAGAACAUAUGUGUAAGUAACUGUGCACAUCUUGACGGUACCUAAUCAGAAAGCCACGGCUAACUACGUGCCAGCAGCCGCGGUAAUACGUAGGUGGCAAGCGUUAUCCGGAAUUAUUGGGCGUAAAGCGCGCGUAGGCGGUUUUUUAAAUCUGAUGUGAAAGCCCACGGCUCAACCGUGGAGGGUCAUUGGAAACUGGAAAACUUGAGUGCAGAAGAGGAAAGUGGAAUUCCAUGUGUAGCGGUGAAAUGCGCAGAGAUAUGGAGGAACACCAGUGGCGAAGGCGACUUUCUGGUCUGUAACUGACGCUGAUGUGCGAAAGCGUGGGGAUCAAACAGGAUUAGAUACCCUGGUAGUCCACGCCGUAAACGAUGAGUGCUAAGUGUUAGGGGGUUUCCGCCCCUUAGUGCUGCAGCUAACGCAUUAAGCACUCCGCCUGGGGAGUACGACCGCAAGGUUGAAACUCAAAGGAAUUGACGGA
rnacentral:rRNA from 1 species